ensembl:lncRNA
GUGGGUACUCACCCCUGGUCCUUAGACAUUUGGGCUUAUAUUCAUGUCAUACUUUUGUGUCCCCUUGACUUAUCUCACACCUGGAGACCACCUUUCUUCCCUUCCAUUGUUGAUAUAUUUUAUUCAGCCUUUCACUGUUCAAAGCAGGAGUUCCCUGACUUCUUGACCGCUCAAGUUCCCACUAGUUGAACAUCUGUACUCUCCUAUCUUUUAAAAAACAUUUCUAGAGUUAGCACAGGGCUCUGUAGAAAUGACACAGGAGGGGUGUCCAACCCAGACACGGGGGUUCAAGGAAGACUUCCUGAAGGAGAACUGCCUGUUCUGAGACAGGAAGACUGAGCAUACAGUUAGUCCGGCAAAAUAACAUGCAUGUGCACUGGGGAGACAGGUUGGAGGAGGAGGUGGGGUGACUGUGGCAGGCAGAAAGUAAAGUACAUAUGAAUAUCCAAGGGGAGAGAAAAAGCAUAUCAUGCAAACAGCAUAUCAAAGAGCAUAUCAAGUUCUGAGAAGCACACGUUCCAAGAACUGCAAGGAGUUUGGUGUGGGACACAGAGUGAGAUACGAGACUAGUGAGAUAAGUAGAGGCCAGUUCAUGAACGACUUACAUGCCAGUUUAGAACGGUGGACCUUAGAACAGACAGGAAUCAAUCAGAUCACAGAAGGUGAAAUCAUCAGGUUAAAAGCAAAACGAAUAUAAUAAAUAUUCCUUACAUAAAUAUACAUGGCUGGUUAGAAUUUGCUGAAACUACUUUGCAGACGGGAUGACAAUCUCAGAGGGCAUUGAAGCACUAACCUUGGCAUUCCAGCACAACGCUGAACUCUUAGCCCAAGGAUUACAAAGCUCAGCCCAGCGCUCUCACUUCAGAGAAAUUUCCCCCACUUGCUUUGUGAAGGGUGUGAGUAACCCACCAGACCAACUUGUAGACAUUUUGGAAAUACAUAGCUCUUUCAAGACUGUUUCCCCAGAUCGCCCCCACCACCUCCAACACCCAUACUGACCCCCAAAACUCUGCCAUAACCUCUUAUGUAAGGAAAGAAUUUAAGCAGCAGUAGAAACUUGAAAAUACAAGUACCCUGGGCCAACGGCCAGGGAGUCUAUUUUUAGAACAUUUUCUCAUUGCCUGUUUAUCUUUUGGACUGAGCCAAAAAGUAUUGUAGGCGAGUGUUAAAGGAAAAGACCAAAAGAAGGUGAUCUGAGACCAAAUAGCAGCAGCAAUGGUGAUCAUUUUGGACAGCGUGUUCCAAUUUCCCCAAUGUGCCUUCACUGGCAUUUGGUGCCCCCCAAAGCCGCUUAAUGUAGAAUUCAUUCAAACCCUUCUCUGCCUUUUCCACUGAUGAAGGGAUUUGGCUAGGUCAAAAGGAAGACAGUAGAAGUUAUGGAUUUCAUAAACUACUAAGCUCGACCAGAACGCUGCUGCUGCUGCUCCUCCAGGCCUCAGUUGUCUGUUUCUAACAUAGGGGUGGUAACACUUGAUCUACCGUCACAACAGUAACCAGAAACUUCUGCGCCUGUCCGUUCUCCUUUGUGCCCGGUUAAUCCCGGAGAAAAGCAACCAUGCAUCUGAGUAUCAUAAAAGUCGGCGCAGUGGCUCACGCCUGUAAUCCCAGGCGCUUCGGGAGGCCGAGGCGGGCGGAUCACCUGAGGUAGGAGUUCGAGACCAGCCUGACCAACAUGGAGAAACCCCUUCUCUACUAAAAAUACAAAAUUAGCCGGGCGUGGUGGCGCAUGCCCGUAAUCCCAGCUACUCGAGAGGCUGAGGCAGAAGAAUCGCUUGAACCCGGGAGACGGAGGUUGCAGUGAGCGGAGAUAGCGCCACCAUUGCUCUCCAGCCUGGGCAACAAGCGCGAAACUCCUUCUAAAAAAAAAAAAAAAAAAAAA